CGAACGGGUGAGUAACGCGUGAGGAACCUGCCUCAAAGAGGGGGACAACAGUUGGAAACGACUGCUAAUACCGCAUAAGCCCACGGCUCGGCAUCGAGCAGAGGGAAAAGGAGUGAUCCGCUUUGAGGUGGCCUCGCGUCCGAUUAGCUGGUUGGUGAGGUAACGGCCCACCAAGGCGACGAUCGGUAGCCGGACUGAGAGGUUGAACGGCCACAUUGGGACUGAGACACGGCCCAG
rnacentral:rRNA from 1 species